rnacentral:rRNA from 1 species
AACCUCGGCUCAGGCGUGAAUACCCGCUGAACUUAAGCAUAUCACUAAGCGGAGGGAAAG